rnacentral:tRNA from 1 species
GCCCGUUUGGCUUAGUGGUACAGCGUCUCACUCGUAUUCCAGCGACAUGAGAAGAUCCUCGGUUCGAUUCCGAGAAUGGGCA